rnacentral:rRNA from 1 species
ACAUUGCAUGGAACUCUCCCAUGCCGUGUUACGCUCGCUAAUAGACACAUGAAAAUUUCGCCCAUCUGCCCAUCAUGCUCAAAUGGUCCAGAAGACACAAAACACGUCUUGUUUCUGUGUCAGAAGGCGAAAGAGGUUUGGAACAAGUUAGGAUUGUAUGAGGUGAUCAAUAGAGCUUGUAGUGUCGAUCGGGCGGGAGAGGCAGUUCUUGAAUUGUUACUACUUAUGCCAGACCAAGAAUUAUUUGUAUUGGGACUCCAGAACGUACGUGAAUUGAUUGCUAUAACAACUUGGUAUCUAUGGUGGGAUAGACGUAAACUGGUUCAUGAAGGAAAGUCUCAAGAUGCACAUCAAACUUCGAUGGGGGCUCGUGCCAUAACGGCGAACUAUGUUAAUGCACACUCCUCUAAGGCAACCAGUAAAAUAAGGGGAUGGAGCAGACCUCCUAUGGGUUUUGUGAAACUAAAUGUUGAUGCUUCCUUUGAUCACGAUCUGCUUAGGAGCACGGCAGGGGCUGUCCUCAGAGAUGACAAAGGAAGGUUCAUUGUUGGCGGAAAUUGA